rnacentral:rRNA from 1 species
AUACAUGCAAGUCGAGCGAACUGAUUAGAAGCUUGCUUCUAUGACGUUAGCGGCGGACGGGUGAGUAACACGUGGGCAACCUGCCUGUAAGACUGGGAUAACUUCGGGAAACCGAAGCUAAUACCGGAUAACAUCAUUCCUUGCAUAAGGAAUGAUUGAAAGAUGGUUUCGGCUAUCACUUACAGAUGGGCCCGCGGUGCAUUAGCUAGUUGGUGAGGUAACGGCUCACCAAGGCAACGAUGCAUAGCCGACCUGAGAGGGUGAUCGGCCACACUGGGACUGAGACACGGCCCAGACUCCUACGGGAGGCAGCAGUAGGGAAUCUUCCGCAAUGGACGAAAGUCUGACGGAGCAACGCCGCGUGAGUGAUGAAGGCUUUCGGGUCGUAAAACUCUGUUGUUAGGGAAGAACAAGUAUGAGAGUAACUGCUCGUACCUUGACGGUACCUAACCAGAAAGCCACGGCUAACUACGUGCCAGCAGCCGCGGUAAUACGUAGGUGGCAAGCGUUAUCCGGAAUUAUUGGGCGUAAAGCGCGCGCAGGCGGUUUCUUAAGUCUGAUGUGAAAGCCCACGGCUCAACCGUGGAGGGUCAUUGGAAACUGGGGAACUUGAGUGCAGAAGAGAAAAGC